rnacentral:rRNA from 1 species
AUUGAACGCUGGCGGCAUGCCUUACACAUGCCAGUCGAACGGCAGCACGGGUGCUUGCACCUGGUGGCGAGUGGCGAACGGGUGAGUAAUACAUCGGAACAUGUCCUGUAGUGGGGGAUAGCCCGGCGAAAGCCGGAUUAAUACCGCAUACGAUCUACGGAUGAAAGCGGGGGACCUUCGGGCCUCGCGCUAUAGGGUUGGCCGAUGGCUGAUUAGCUAGUGGGUGGGGUAAAGGCCUACCAAGGCGACGAUCAGUAGCUGGUCUGAGAGGACGACCAGCCACACUGGGACUGAGACACGGCCCAGACUCCUACGGGAGGCAGCAGUGGGGAAUUUUGGACAAUGGGCGAAAGCCUGAUCCAGCAAUGCCGCGUGUGUGAAGAAGGCCUUCGGGUUGUAAAGCACUUUUGUCCGGAAAGAAAUCCUUGGCCCUAAUACGGUCGGGGGAUGACGGUACCGGAAGAAUAAGCACCGGCUAACUACGUG